rnacentral:rRNA from 1 species
AUGACCCCAACUCAGGCAGGAAUACCCGCUGAACU